CAGAUUCAUUCAGACUGCUAUGCUCUCCUCAACGUGGCUAGAGACUGACUCAGACUGAAUGCCAGCUCUGAGACCCUGCUCCUGUCUUUUAUACCUCCCUAAUGCUGGGAUUGAGGGCGUGUGAUCCCAAAGGCUGAGAUCACCUUUUUGUGUGAGCUGUUUCUCUUUAGGACUGGAUCAGUGGACUUGAACUAACGGAGAUCCAUCUACUUCUACCUCCUAAGCAGUGGGAUUAAAAAUUCAAAGUGGAGCCAGGACACCGUAUUUUUAACAGCCACCCCCUCUUAGUUGCCAAAGGACUUGGUUGUGUACAGCCAGGCUGGAGCCAACAGUGGGCCCAGAAGGAGGAAUCGUGAGAUUCCUGUGUCACAGGAAAGAUUUGGGAGCCAGGCCAAAUGCGUCCAUCUGGGCUUCAGCUUAGAAGCCGCUGCCCUGCGUCUGGACCCUUAGAUGAAACUGCAGGUGCACUGGCCCAGCACCUACGCUGCGACAGCUCCGACUGAGCCACCACUCGACGCGGUAGCUGACUCUGGCACAUGGUAGAUUUUGUCUGACACUCUUGUGACCUGUCCGAGUCCCUAGUCCAUGUGGCACGGAAGGACUGGGGUGGACUUACAUAUCACUAUAGGACUGCCCAUGGUGGUUAGACAAUCCUAUUAGGAAGCCAUCCUUAUCCUUAUGACUGUCCCUUCAAUUGCUCUAGUUGCUUAAACUGUAAGAGACCACUACACACUAGGCCCAUGGACCUGAGCUGGGCACGACAGUGAAUUUCUGCAAGAGAGCUGAGCACGUGGAGCAGGCCUCUCCCAGGAGUUGGCACUUAUGCUGAACCUGGUGUGACAAGAGGAGCCCAGUGCUAAGAAUGGAACUGUUUCCCCUCUGAAGUCAGUGGAUGACACUCUCUGGGUGGUCUCUCUGUCACACUUGUCAGCACCAGAGCAUCAGAGUCUGGUGGGAGAGCCAGAAGCCCCAAGAAGCCUGCUGAUACCCAAGGGCACUGACUCUGAGGUCCUGACUCCAGCUGGUCUCAUCCAGGCAGCUGCUUUAGUUAAUUAAGCCUGGGACUGAGUUCUAGGAGGGGACAAGGUAUGAAGGAUUAUGUGAGUGUCUGUCUGAUCUAGCCUCAGGAAAGGAGAGACCAAGGGUGGAGACGGCUCUAACCCAGCAUAGGCCACUUGCCUUCCUGGCCUUGACACUGCUCUGUCUAGCUGCUGAGAGGUUUUUCUGGUGUUAACAUUGGGCUUCUCCAGAAAUUCAAAGACUCCCAGACUCUUCCAGCGGGCCCCAAGCAAUCACACAGCAAAGGAAGCCUGGGCAUUGAAAGAACAUAGUUCCCCCAUGAACACAUGGAAUAGUGGUACCAGAGCCGGGGUCAGACGGCACAAAGCUGAGAGCACAGUGCCUCAGUCCUGUGAGACAAAGCCAGCCCUGGACACAGCAUGUCUCGGGAGCUGAGGGCAUGGGAACCCUCAGGGCACCUGAGGGCAGAGGUGGACAGGAAGCCCUGAAAGUGGAACCCUCUGCCCAGCACAGGGGAGGGUGUGGGACCCAGUGACCACAGUGGACAGAGCCCAGCUUUGUUCCAGAGCAGACAUAGCUUCUUAGCCUGCAGGCACGCAAUCCUGAGAGGAUGAGUGAAGUCCUCAGAUGAGAAAGGCAUUCUAAAGAUAUCCUUCAGCCAAAUAAAGCCAAAUGAAACCAA